AUCUGGUUGAUCCUGCCAGUAGUCAUAUGCUUCUUUCAAGGACUAAGCCAUGCAAGCCUCAGAGUACAUGGAAUAACAGUAGAUCUGUGAAUGGCUCAUUACAUCAGCAAUAAUCUACGCGGUGACGUGGGGGUUUCAACCCUGCCUACUGGAUACCCAGGCUAACUGCCUGGCUAAUACAUGGACGAAGAACGCUUUCUCACUUGACGCGCAGCAGCGGGGCGACUCGUCUGUUGCGUGGAGACAGCGUGCAUUCAGCCGAUACCAAGACCAGCGCCCGCAAGGGCAGCGUGCAUUGAUGAUUCAGGCUGUCCUGUGCAAUAGCAGAGUGAUGUACAUCAUCGCUGCUUGGCCGCACGAACUUCUGACCUAUCAGCUUAGGACUGUGGUGUAGUGGACCACUGUGGCUAUCACGGGUAACGGAGAAUUAGGGUUUGAUACCGGAGAGGGAGCCUGAUACACGGCUACCACUGCUAAGGUGGGCAGCAGGCACGCAAAUUGCCCAAUACCAGCACACCUGGUGAGGCAGCAACGAGCUGUAGCAAUUCCGCCGGUCCCUGUGACAGGCGGAAUUUGCAAUGGAUGCCAUAUCCAAACCCAGCAAUGAUGAUCAACUGGAGGGCAAGUCUGGUGCCAGCAGCUGCGGUAAUUCCAGCUCCAACGGCGUAUACUAAUAUUGCUGCUGUUAAAACGCUUGUAGUCGACCACAGAACGUGGGGCUGCGAGGUGGCCUACAACAGUGGUCCUGAGGACAGCUUCGGUUGUUUGAUGGCCUGCUGAAGUGGGAACUCAACCCCUCGCAGUAUGCCCCCGCGUUCGCUGCACAUGGGACCGAUUGCACCUGCGAUAAGUGGGCUUCAUUGACCACCGACGCGGCUUCACCCGCAACGCGGGUACGGGAUCAAGUGCCAUUCGUGUCCCUCCCCCCCCCGGUGUCGUCCAUGGCUGUUACCGUGAACAACUCAGCGCGUCCAAAGCGACCGACUAUUGGCUGCAUGCUUCCGCAUGGGAUAACAAAGGAUUGACCAGAUGGGCUUUCGUAUUUUGCUGGCCUUAGUGUCCAUCAAGGGCAAUACGGUGCUGUCCCCCCAGUUAGGUGGCCAACUUCGGUUGCGUUCACCCGAUUGGUGGUGCAGUGCCGACCAGUAAUGAUGGGAGCGUUCGGGGUGAUGGGUAUCGAAACGCUAGAGGUGAAAUUCUUAGAUCGCUUUGGGAUCAGCUGCAGCGAAGGCGUUUUGCAAGGGCAUGUCCGUCGAUCAAGAACGAGAGUGUGGGGAGCGAAGAUGAUCAGAUACCGUCGUAGUCCACUACCGUAAACUAUGUCGGCUCGGCGUUGGCGGUGUAUUCUGCUUAUAAGGGCACCGCCAGUUCCACUCUUCUGCAACGAGAAAUCAAAGCUUGUGGGUUCAGGGGGGAGUACUGUCGCAAGGCUGAAACUUAAAGGAAUUGACGGAAUGGCACCACAAGGCGUGGAGUAUGCGGCUUAAUUUGACUCAACACGGGGAAUGUUACCAGGUCAGGACGUAGCUGGGAUUGACAGAUUGAGAGCUCUUUCUUGAUUCUUUGGACGGUGGUGCAUGGCCACUCCUGAUUGGUGGAGUGAUUUGUCUGGUUGAUUCCGAUAACGAAUGAGAUCUCUGCCUCCCAAUAGUCCCCGGUCUCGCACCUAUGUAGCUCGGGACAGCGCGCCUGGUUGGUUAGCGUUCGCGUUGCCAGCUUUAUGGCCGCUGAUUUCUCCGAGCGAGAGCUCCGGGCUUCUGCUUCUCCGAGGUGCUCUGUACGCCACAAAGUACAUGUAUGCUAGAGCCAACAGUAGGUCUGUGAUGCUCCUAGAUGUUCUGGGCCGCACGCGCACUACACUGACGCAGAAAACGAGCUCACCCUCCAUUAGCGAGUCCUGCCCAGAAGUGGGUGGGAAACCUUCAAGCCUGCGCCGUGCUGGGGAUAGAUGAUUGCAACUAUUUGCCUUGAACGAGGAAUGCCUAGUAAGCGUAGGUCAUCAGCCUACACUGAUUGUGUCCCUGCCAUUUGUACACACCGCCCGUCGUUGCUACCGAUGGUAGGAAGACAGAGACAUCAGGAGACCGCCCUGGUGCCCAUCCUAUUAUGCCCCCUUUCUCCGAGGGUGUGUGUGGCAGGAACCGGGCACCAGGCCGUGGUUGAAUUUGGCCAAUGUCUUCUUACUAGAGGAAGCAAAAGUCGUAACAAGGUUGCUGUAGGUGAACCUGCAGCAGGAUCAUU
rnacentral:rRNA from 1 species